GAAAUGCGAUAAGUAAUGUGAAUUGCAGAAUUCAGUGAAUCAUCGAAUCUUUGAACGCACAUUGCGCCCCUUGGUAUUCCGGGGGGCAUGCCUGUUCGAGCGUCAUUACAACCCUCAAGCUCUGCUUGGAAUUGGGCACCGUCCUCACUGCGGACGCGCCUCAAAGACCUCGGCGGUGGCUGUUCAGCCCUCAAGCGUAGUAGAAUACACCUCGCUUUGGAGCGGUUGGCGUCGCCCGCCGGACGAACCUUCUGAACUUUUCUCAAGGUUGACCUCGGAUCAGGUAGGGAUACCCGCUGAACUUAA
rnacentral:misc_RNA from 1 species